UUGUGAAGGAAAUCAUCUUCGUGUCGGGUAUAAGGUUUCAAACAACGUAUCUCUGUAUAUAUUGAUAUGAUCAUAAUAUUCUUUCAUUCUGGCGCAACACCUGUGAUAGUUUAAAACAAAAAUUACGCUAUUGAUCAACUUAAUCUAAAUAUUGCUAACUUUGAAAGUAAACUUAAGAGGAAGAAUGUUUUAGUAGAGGAAUAAACUAUCCACAUCCGUUCUUGUUAGAAACUUUUUAAAGAAUAAUAAAGAAAUACACGCCAGCAGAUAUGGAACUUGGUCUUUUAUUGGGUUAUAUUAUGUUAUUACUGGCAGUCACACGUUGUAUAGAUGGAAAUCAUGAUGCAGAGAUAGACCUUCAAUCAGAACUAGAUCAUAUAGAAACAUUAGAAAACGAAUCAAAAAUGGAUUUAUUAAGAGAAAUUCCGCAGUCAGAUGACAGCUAUAGCGACUUACAAAAACGAUCAAAGCUAGACCGCAUGCCAGCCAUAUUUGGUAAAAGAGCAAACAAAUUAAACAGAAUGCCAGCAUAUUUUGGAAAAAGAACUCGAUUAAAUCGAAUGCCAGCCGUUUUCGGAAAAAGAUCGCGUCUUAAUCGAAUGCCUGCUGUCUUUGGCAAACGUUCAACCCUUGAUCGAAUGCCAGCGGUGUUUGGAAAACGAUCAAGAUUGAAUCGAAUGCCUGCGGUAUUUGGAAAAAGAUCAAGAUUGAAUCGAAUGCCAGCUGUGUUUGGUAAAAGGGAUAAUUUGGUUGACCUUAUGCCUGAAGAAUUUGAGAAAACAGACACUGGAUUGUCGGUGGAAUCAGACAUGCUUGGACAGAAUAAAGCAGUCGCUGAUUUAUUGUCUAUAAUUCAAAGUAAUAAAAUGACAGUAGAAGAAUUAUCUGCUAUAAUGGCUCAAGAUAUGUAUCUGUUGGUACCACUUGUAAGAACAUUUAUAGAUACCAAUGGUGAUGGGCUUAUAUCUGUUCAAGAAUUGAUGUCGAUUAAGACGAGGAAUCCAUAAGUAAUAAAAACGACAAACAGUUGCGGAAACUACAACAUAUUUGACUAACAAAACGAGUUUCAUUCAAACAGGACUAAACUAUGUUCAACGUGUAUCAUCUAGUUAGCUUUAAAAGUGAUUCUAGACUGUCCCUGAUGGCGCAUUAGUUUGUAAAGUAUAGCACUCGAGUGCUAUUAUACGCACAUUAGCCAAAUAACACAGGCUAUUAAUCUUCAUUAUUGAGCUGUCUAAUUGAAUCGACAAACACUUUUUCUGGUUUAACUUUCGAAAAGAGCUGGGUCGUGUUCGAUGGAGUGCUAACUUCGCAACGUUUGUGAGAUUAUUGCAAAAGAAACGUACAUCUGGACAAUCUGGGUUUAAAAUAUAGGCUAAAUAUAAUUUUACUCUUUGAUAUGUUCGUUAAUCCGUGGAUUAGACAGACAGUUCCCUGUCAUUUGUUUAUGGCCACUGUUUUGUUAUGAUAGGCUGUAAGCCCAUUAUAAUGAUGAUUCUAAAUAAGUUGAUUUUUUAUAGCUCACGUGUUUAUUUAUUUUAACAGGGUAUUUUAAUUUAAUUCGUGUAAACUUGUUAACUUUUUUUUAUAAAAAAAGGGAUUUUACCACUUUGAUUUGGGUUUUCAAAAAAAAAAACAGUGUCUAUUUAGAUUAAUUCUGGUGUGUUGGCUUGGUUAUUAACAAAGUUUUGGUUAGUUCCCUUAGAUUGAUCACUUAAUGAUAUGAUACAUUUUAGAGAGUAGAAUAUGUAAAAUCUGUCCGUAAUAUAUCCCCGAUGUCAUAUACUAGAUAUAAGUGUAAUUUUAUGAUGAGCUAUAAUAGUUGCAACUUAACACCGUUGUUGUUUCCACUAAUUGUUUCACGUGACGUCACAGAUACGUACGUGUAUAUGCGUUCAAAUGGUUCACCAGUUCAAGUUCAAUUAAUCCUGUAAUGCUAGGUUCCCACUAUCACGAUUUGUGCUACGAUUGAAAUCGUGGUUUUAAUCGUGGAGUAAUCGUGGUGAUCCUAUCAGAUCUUAUCAUAUAUUGAUAGUAGUAGUCGUGUUGAUCGUAUCGAAACGUAUCCGAACGUAUCUGCCCUUAUCGGAUCGUGGACUCAAUAGGGGCAAUCCUAUCGUAAAGCAUCGUACGACAGUGGGACCCUAGCAUAACCUAAAUGAACUUCUUUGAAGUAUGAUUUUUAAUUUAUGAUGUACAAUUUGUUUUAUCUCAAAAGCCUAUUACUGUAUAAGGGAGAACUUUUUUCCACCUAUAUACUUGUGAAUAUGUUAGUGAUAUCAUUAACCAAGUGUUUAUGUUUAUUAGGCAAUUUAAUUUUAAAAAAAUACCACUGAGAAUCCCACUUUAAUAUUUAAAGAUAAGUGAGUGAGUUAUGUCAAAACAUCCUGCUACGUGUUUGGACAUUAAAAUUGACUAUUUUCGUAGGCCACAGUGUGUAAACCGAAUGGUUUCUAUCAUAAACAAACAAAUUAACUUUGAACCUAAGCUUUUUAAAAAAUAUAUAUAAGUAAGAAGUCUGCUAAAUGAAAACAGUCUUUAAAAUCUUGGGACUUUUAAAACAAACAUGUUCGUAGAUAAACAAAACAAGUUUCCCUUUUUUAAACAGGGUUGUUUCUUUUUAGCUGUAACGUUAUAAUCUUUAUUUAUUAAAUUUGUUUCUGAUUGUAACGGUAUGAUAACAUAUAUUCAUUAAAUAUAUUUCUGUCUGUAACCGUAUAUUUUUAUUAUUCAUUCUUUUCUGACUGUAACCGCAUAGUCUAUGUUCAUUAAAUUUUAUUCUGACUGUAACUGUAUCAGACAAAUAUUUAUAAAAUAGGCUGUUCAACUUUACUCCAAUUCGUAAUAUUGUUUCUGACUGUAACGGUAUAACCUAUAUUCGUUUUGUUUCUGACUGUAACGUUAUAACCUAUAUUUAUUAAAUUUGUUUUUGAUUGUAACGUUAUAAUCUAUAUUCAUUAAAUUAAGCAGAGCACUGAUGGUGGCUUUAAUUGAAUUGUUUUUCUUCAUUUUUAACAAUUAGAAAGGGACGGGGGGAAGACAUCAAACAUAAUCAAUACUAUAUUUAAUUUGCAAUCAUAUCAUGUUAAUACCAGUGUUAUAUUGAUUGUUUCUUUUUAUUCUUUUGAAGAAAAAAAAAAUCUUUG